rnacentral:rRNA from 1 species
GUAGUUAACCUAACCUUAGGACGGAGAUAACUCCGGGAAACUGGGGCUAAUAUCCGAUAGAUGGAAAUGCCUGGAAUGGUCUUCCGUUGAAAGGUUUUAAGGAACAUGCUCCUUUCAAAUGCCUAAGGAUGGGACUGCCGCCCAUCAGGCUGUUGGUAAGGUAACGGCCUACCAAACCUAUAACCGGUACGGGCCCUGAGAGGGGGAGCCCGGAGAUGGGAACUGAGACAAGGUCCCAUGCCCUAAGGGGCGCAGCAGGCGCGAAACCUCCGCAAUGCGCGAAAGCGUGACGGGGUUACCCCGAGUGCUGUCCGAUGAUCGAUAGCUUUUUUCUAGUGUAAAAAGCUAGGCGAAUAAAGGGGGGGCAAGACUGGUGUCAGCCGCCGCGGUAAUACCAGCCCCCUGAGUGAUAGGGACGAUUAUUUAGCCUAAAGCGUCCGUAGCCGGCU